CCUACGGGAGACAGCAGUGAGGAAUAUUGGUCAAUGGACGAGAGUCUGAACCAGCCACGUCGCGUGAAGGAUGCCUGCCCUAUGGGUUGUAAACUUCUUUUAUAAAGGAAUAAAACGAGGCACGUACGCCUUUUUGCAUGUACUUUAUGAAUAAGGAUAGCGCAACGCCGUGCCAGCAGCCGCGGUAAUACGGAGGAUCCGAGCGUUAUCCGGAUUUAUUGGGUUUAAAGGGAUCGUAGAUGGGUUGUUAAGUCAGUUGUGAAAGUUUGCGGCUCAACUGUAGAAUUGCAAUUGAUACUGGCGGGCUAGAGUGCAGUAGAGGUAGGCGGAAUUCGUGGUGUAGCGGUGAAAUGCUUAGAUAUCACGAAGAACCUCGAUUGCGAAGGCAGCUUACUAAACUGUGAUUGACAUUGAGGCUCGAAAGUGUGGGUAUCAAACAGGAUUAGAUACCCGAGUAGUC
rnacentral:rRNA from 1 species